UGAGGAAUAUUGGUCAAUGGGCGGAAGCCUGAACCAGCCAAGUAGCGUGCAGGAAGACGGCCCUAUGGGUUGUAAACUGCUUUCAGUCGGGAAUAACUCGUCGGUCGUGACCGACGUUGCAGGUACCGUCAUAAGAAGGACCGGCUAAUUCCGUGCCAGCAGCCGCGGUAAUACGGAAGGUCCGGGCGUUAUCCGGAUUUAUUGGGUUUAAAGGGAGCGUAGGUGGACUGUCAAGUCAGUCGUGAAAUCCGCGGGCUCAACCUGCGGCCUGCAGUUGAAACUGGCGGUCUUGAGUGUGUACGACGCUGGCGGAAUUCGUGGUGUAGCGGUGAAAUGCUUAGAUAUCACGAAGAACUCCGAUUGCGAAGGCAGCUGGCGAGAGCACAACUGACGCUGAAGCUCGAAAGUGCGGGUAUCGAACAGGAUUAGAUACCCUGGUAGU
rnacentral:rRNA from 1 species